rnacentral:rRNA from 1 species
UACGAAGGGGGGCUAGCGUUGCUCGGAAUUACUGGGCGUAAAGGGCUCGUAGGCGGCCAACUAAGUCGGACGUGAAAUCCCUCAGCUUAACUGGGGAACUGCGUCCGAUACUGGAUGGCUUGGAUUGGGAGAGGGAUGCGGAAUUCCAGGUGUAGCGGUGAAAUGCGUAGAUAUCUGGAGGAACACCGGUGGCGAAGGCGGGUCUCUGGGGCCGAUACUGACGCUGAGGAGCGAAAGCGUGGGGAGCGAACAGG